UUUCCGAAUCUUCGAUCUGUCGAUAAAAGGUAAUCAUUAAUCAUCUGCUCUUCCGUUUUCAAAUCUUAUCUCGCAGAUUUGAUAUAGAAUUUGGAAUUUUAAUUGUUUGAAUUGAUGUGAGAUUUGCAAAUAAUUGAUCCGAUAAUUGAUUGUUUGUAGAUUUGAUAUAGGAUUGGUGUUUUGUUGUUGGAUCAUAGUGUUACCAUCGAUCUGCCCAUAAAAGUGAGUGAGAGAGAAAGAUCAAUCUCUUUCGAAUCAGAUUGGGCUUUGUGGAAAACAGAAGAAGGCUUGCUGUUGUUUAGUUUAUUCUUCUGACGUGAGAGGGUUGGACUCUAUUCGAUCUUUAGCAUCAGAGUUUUUCCAAUCUUCAAUCUAUUGAUAAAGGUUUAAAACAGAACAUCAGCUAAAGUGUUGAAGCUCCAGAGUUUAAACUCAAGGGUAAGGCAUAACUAAAGGUCGCCACAUGAAUCCAAUUGAAUCUGGU